CUGGGAAACUGCCUGAUGGAGGGGGAUAACUACUGGAAACGGUAGCUAAUACCGCAUAACGUCGCAMGACCAAAGUGGGGGACCUUCGGGCCUCAUGCCAUCAGAUGUGCCCAGAUGGGAUUAGCUAGUAGGUGGGGUAAUGGCUCACCUAGGCGACGAUCCCUAGCUGGUCUGAGAGGAUGACCAGCCACACUGGAACUGAGACACGGUCCAGACUCCUACGGGAGGCAGCAGUGGGGAAUAUUGCACAAUGGGCGCAAGCCUGAUGCAGCCAUGCCGCGUGUAUGAAGAAGGCCUUCGGGUUGUAAAGUACUUUCAGCGAGGAGGAAGGCAUUAAGGUUAAUAACCUUAGUGAUUGACGUUACUCGCARAAGAAGCACCGGCUAACUCCGUGCCAGCAGCCGCGGUAAUACGGAGGGUGCAAGCGUUAAUCGGAAUUACUGGGCGUAAAGCGCAC
rnacentral:rRNA from 1 species